rnacentral:rRNA from 1 species
GACGAACGCUGGCGGCGUGCCUAAUACAUGCAAGUAGAACGCUGAAGAGAGGAGCUUGCUCUUCUUGGAUGAGUUGCGAACGGGUGAGUAACGCGUAGGUAACCUGCCUGGUAGCGGGGGAUAACUAUUGGAAACGAUAGCUAAUACCGCAUAAUAGCAGUUAUUGCAUGAUAACUGUUUGAAAGGUGCAAAUGCAUCACUACCAGAUGGACCUGCGUUGUAUUAGCUAGUUGGUGGGGUAACGGCUCACCAAGGCGACGAUACAUAGCCGACCUGAGAGGGUGAUCGGCCACACUGGGACUGAGACACGGCCCAGACUCCUACGGGAGGCAGCAGUAGGGAAUCUUCGGCAAUGGACGGAAGUCUGACCGAGCAACGCCGCGUGAGUGAAGAAGGUUUUCGGAUCGUAAAGCUCUGUUGUAAGAGAAGAACGAGUGUGAGAGUGGAAAGUUCACACUGUGACGGUAUCUUACCAGAAAGGGACGGCUAACUCGC